GACGAACGCUGGCGGCGUGCUUAACACAUGCAAGUCGAACGGAAAGGCCCUGCUUUUGUGGGGUGCUCGAGUGGCGAACGGGUGAGUAACACGUGAGUAACCUGCCCUUGACUUUGGGAUAACUUCAGGAAACUGGGGCUAAUACCGGAUAGGAGCUCCUGCUGCAUGGUGGGGGUUGGAAAGUUUCGGCGGUUGGGGAUGGACUCGCGGCUUAUCAGCUUGUUGGUGGGGUAGUGGCUUACCAAGCCUUUGACGGGUAGCCGGCCUGAGAGGGUGACCGGCCACAUUGGGACUGAGGUACGGACCAGACUCCUACGGGAGGCAGCAGUGGGGAAUAUUGCACAAUGGGCGGAAGUGUGAUGCAGCAACGCCGCGUGCGGAAUGACGGCCUUCGGGUUGUAAACCGCUUUCGCCUGUGACGAAGCGUGAGUGGCGGUAAUGGGUAAAGAAGCACCGGCUAACUACGUG
rnacentral:rRNA from 1 species